ACAACCACAAAUUGCUUUAGAAUCCCCUUUACACUGUGGGUUUGCUGGUGUGCUGGCAUUUAUUUCAGCUUCACAGUGUGGUUAAAAAUAACUAUCAGUUGGCAAAAUUCUCACCAGCCCUUGCUGUUCUCCAUGUCACAGUGGUAAUGGAUCUGAUGGCUGAGGCGGGACGGCCUCAGCCCAUCGGUGAUCAGUAUCUCUGCAGUUGCAUGGAAGUCCUUCAGGGACUAAAUUCAAUCCCAGGGGGUUCAUUUAAGAAGCACUGGCCUAGGGUCAACAGAUUUGGUUCAUCGUUCACUAUGUGCAGAGCACACUACUAGAAGCACAAAGGGUUGAAACUGCCUAAACUGUACACAGCAACCUUUCUGAUGGUCAUGACAUAAACUCACUGUGG
rnacentral:lncRNA from 1 species